UACGUAGGGUGCGAGCGUUGCCCGGAUUUAUUGGGCGUAAAGGGCGCGUAGGCGGCCACGCACGUCCGUUGUGAAAUCGCCCGGCUCAACUGGGCGGGGUCAGCGGAUACGGUGUGGCUCGAGCAAGCUAGGGGGCAAUGGAAUUCCCGGUGUAGUGGUGGAAUGCGUAGAUAUCGGGAGGAACACCGGUGGCGAAGGCGGCGACCUGGGUAGAUACUGACGCUGAGGUGCGAAAGCGUGGGGAGCAAACAGG
rnacentral:rRNA from 1 species